rnacentral:rRNA from 1 species
UGAGGAAUAUUGCGCAAUGGGGGAAACCCUGACGCAGCAACGCCGCGUGGGUGAAGAAGGCUUUCGGGUUGUAAAGCCCUGUCAGGCGGGAAGAAACCUCUGUAGUCGAAUAGGCUGCAGAACUGACGGUACCGCCAAAGGAAGCACCGGCUAACUCCGUGCCAGCAGCCGCGGUAAGACGGAGGGUGCAAGCGUUGUUCGGAAUCACUGGGCGUAAAGCGCGUGUAGGCGGUCUGAUAAGUCGAGUGUGAAAGCCCGAGGCUCAACCUCGGAAGUGCAUUCGAAACUGUCAGGCUUGAGUACGGGAGAGGGAAGUGGAAUUCCUGGUGUAGAGGUGAAAUUCGUAGAUAUCAGGAGGAACACCGGUGGCGGAAGGCGGCUUCCUGGACCGAUACUGACGCUGAGACGCAAAGCGUGGGAGCAAACAGGAUAGAUACCCUGGUAGUCCACGCCGUAACGG